rnacentral:rRNA from 1 species
CCUACGGGAGGCUGCAGUGGGGAAUAUUGGGCAAUGGGCGCAAGCCUGACCCAGCAACGCCGCGUGAAGGAAGAAGGCUUUCGGGUUGUAAACUUCUUUUCUCAGGGACGAAGAAAGUGACGGUACCUGAGGAAUAAGCCACGGCUAACUACGUGCCAGCAGCCGCGGUAAUCCGUAGGUGGCAAGCGUUAUCCGGAUGUACUGGGUGUAAAGGGCGUGUAGGCGGGAAAGCAAGUCAGAUGUGAAAACCAUGGGCUCAACCUGUGGCCUGCAUUUGAAACUGUUUUUCUUGAGUACUGGAGAGGCAGACGGAAUUCCUCGUGUAGCGGUGAAAUGCGUAGAUAUGAGGAGGAACACCAGUGGCGAAGGCGGUCUGCUGGACAGCAACUGACGCUGAGGUGCGAAAGCGUGGGGAGCAAACAGGAUUAGAUACCCUAGUAGUC